UGCAGUAGAAGCUGAAGUCUGGUGCUUGCACUAGACGGAUGAGUUGCGAACGGGUGAGUAACGCGUAGGUAACCUGCCUCAUAGCGGGGGAUAACUAUUGGAAACGAUAGCUAAUACCGCAUAACAGUAUUUACCGCAUGGUAGAUACUUGAAAGGAGCAAUUGCUUCACUAUGAGAUGGACCUGCGUUGUAUUAGCUAGUUGGUGAGGUAACGGCUCACCAAGGCAUCGAUACAUAGCCGACCUGAGAGGGUGAUCGGCCACACUGGGACUGAGACACGGCCCAGACUCCUACGGGAGGCAGCAGUAGGGAAUCUUCGGCAAUGGGGGCAACCCUGACCGAGCAACGCCGCGUGAGUGAAGAAGGUUUUCGGAUCGUAAAGCUCUGUUGUAAGAGAAGAACUGUGAGAAGAGUGGAAAGUUUCUCACUUGACGGUAUCUUACCAGAAAGGGACGGCUAACUACGUGCCAGCAGCCGCGGUAAUACGUAGGUCCCGAGCGUUGUCCGGAUUUAUUGGGCGUAAAGCGAGCGCAGGCGGUUUGAUAAGUCUGAAGUAAAAGGCUGUGGCUUAACCAUAGUACGCUUUGGAAACUGUCAAACUUGAGUGCAGAAGGGGAGAGUGGAAUUCCAUGUGUAGCGGUGAAAUGCGUAGAUAUAUGGAGGAACACCGGUGGCGAAAGCGGCUCUCUGGUCUGUAACUGACGCUGAGGCUCGAAAGCGUGGGGAGCGAACAGGAUUAGAUACCCUGGUAGUCCACGCCGUAAACGAUGAGUGCUAGGUGUUGGGU
rnacentral:rRNA from 1 species